rnacentral:rRNA from 1 species
AAACUUUCAACAAUGGAUCUCUUGGUUCCGGCAUCGAUGAAGAACGCAGCGAAAUGCGAUAACUAAUGUGAAUUGCAGAAUUCAGUGAAUCAUCGAGUCUUUGAACGCACAUUGCGCCCCCUGGUAUUCCGGGGGGGCAUGCCUGUCCGAGCGUCAUU